rnacentral:lncRNA from 1 species
ACAGAAUGUCUGCAAACGCGCUCUGACUUCCCAGCAUCCUUGGUAACAUGUAUUGGUAUCAUGAAGGGAACUGCAGGUCCAAAUGUCUCCAGGAAGAAAAACAUCUCUGACUGGUAGUUCCCAACAUGCUUUGCUGCUUCUUCAUUCAAUUCUUAAUCUCUAAUUUUAUUGUGUUUUGACUGCUUUUAGAGGUGUUUAGUGUUGGAUAAACACGGAUCCGGACUAUAGGAUGAGAUGGCUUCUCCUCUGGUUGGACAGAGUAAGAGGAGAAUAAAUCCAUUACUCUCAAACAAAAGCUGAGGUCAUAGCUGCUUCUGAAAUCCAUCAUGAUGGUGCUGCUGAAGUACAGGGAAGGAAAUGGCGGUGGAGGAAGGGGAAGGAGAGGGCAGGAGGUGCGUUGAUGAUCACCAUUGAGCUGGACACAACUAGAAGCACCAGACUGACCCAGGAGGGAAGGAGGAGCAGGGUGAAAUAGCCCAGCAGACACAUAGGCACAGGGUCAGGGAGAGGGAGCUGGAGUCUAUCCCAGCUGCACCCUAUGUCAGCAAUUGG